CAUCACCGCGGGCGUGUUCAUGAACUACACGGGGAUUAGCCGGCGGCUGGUGGCGUUCGCCGAGGUGCUCACCGGUCAUCUGCCGGGCGGGCUGGCCCAGGUGAACGUGGUGCUCUCGACGCUGAUGGGGGGGCUGUCGGGGUCGAACCUCGCCGACGCGGCGAUGCAGUCGAAGAUCCUGGUGCCGGAGAUGGUCAAGCGGGGCUAUAGCCCGGCCUUCUCCGCCGCGGUGACCGCCGCCUCGGCGCUGAUCACCCCGAUCAUCCCGCCCGGCAUCGCGCUGAUUAUCUACGGGUACGUGGGGAACGUGUCGAUCGGGCGGCUGUUUUUGGCCGGCGUGGUUCCCGGCAUCUUGACGUGUGGUUUGAUGAUGG
rnacentral:rRNA from 1 species